CUUCCAUCCACAAUUAGAAUAGGAGAAAAAGAAAACAACGGAAAAUGAGCCCCAAGAAACAAACUGUGGACACCAGGUGCUUCACCAAAAGUGUAAAACAUCCUCAAAACCAGUGCCCAAUGAAACCGUGGUUUUACAGAAAUUACUGCUUAGUAUGAAACUGGAAAUCUGGGAGAAUUGCUUUCUCCUACACAAUUUAGAAACAUUCAGAGAGAUGGCACAGGAUUGAGAACAGCAAGUACACCAGUGGUCGCCGCGAUCCGUGGAGACUGGGGAAUGGGGAGUGACGGGUUUCUUUGGAGAAUCAGAAAUGUCCUGGAAUCGGACAGUGGCUAUCAUUGCACAACCCUGCAAAUGUGCGAAGACCCGGCGAACUGCACAGUUUAAAAGGCUGGAUUUUCAUGGCAAUUAAAACAAAUAGGUGGUACGUGGA